UUGUUGUGUGGCUUAACCUGUAAUAUAGAGGUGGUAGUUACAAGAAUUGUUUAGCCAGAUGGAGAAUUUUCAUGCUAUGGCUUUGAUACUCUUAAGUGUGCCCAUUGGUGUCAGGUUUUUAUCAAGAAUAUUUUUUAUUGUCUUACUAUUUCUUAAAAAUAUUGAUUAAUUUUAGACAAAAUCAAUUAAUCUUCCUUAAAUUGUCUAUUCUGUAUUUACGACCAGUUAUUUAUUAAUUUGCAUGAAUAUGAUUUAAGAAUGACUUUUGUGUUGCUUAAAAUGCUUUAUUUGUUUUGAAACUUAGUAUUUAAAAACGAAAAUAUGAGGUGUAGAAAUAAUGGCCAAAGUUAUGAUAAUUAUUUUUUUGUUUUUGUAAAGUUUAUUAUGCUUUAUAUGUUUGUGUAUAGGCAUUUAGACGACCAGAUUAACUUUACCAAUAAUUCGUGAUCACUGUAUAUAUCGGUCAGUACAUUUGUCACUUGUAUAUAGAGCGAUUGCGAAAUGAUUGUAUUUGCAAUGUUAAUCAUGCGUUUAUUGUUGCCAUUUUGAUUUUCGCUGUUAACAUUUAUUUGUUCUAACAAUUUUCAUCACGUACAUCUUUUAGGUGCCAGAUAAUAAAAAAAACAUUGCUUGUGGAGAUGCUCAUUUAAAACUUUCUUAAUGAUACAGAACAACACAUUCUGAAGAGGCAAAUAUGCUUUAUACAAUAGGAACAUCUUGUUACUAGUAUAUGUAAUGCCUUUCACUAAAUAAAGUCAAGCAACUAUAGAAAGAUUGGUUUAACUUUAUUUUGCAUUAUCUUAAGAAAAAUUAAUAUAUUCAACUUGGAAAUCAGUCAAUUGCAAAUCAAGCAAGAGUGAUGAAUAUUUGUACGCAAGAUAGAGGGAUGUUUUUGCUUGAAAAAAGUUUUAUCCCUUGUUAGAUAAUGAUUUUGUUCAUCUCUCAACAUAACAAGUGCAUUCAUACAGCUAUUAAAAAUAUGACACACUUAAUACUCAGCCAUCAGUUUGUAUUGGGGUUUUGUGGAAUACUUACUAAACUAAUAUACGUCUGUGCAAUGAAUUAAUAGUUAUGGUACAAUAUGAUACUCAUUGUUAAAAAACAUGUGCAAUAAAAAUAUAAUGGCAUUUAUUUGAAAUCAUAAAAUUUAGUUUUCCAUACAAUGCUUACAGUUUUGCAAUUGCGACGAUAAAGGAAAUGUUCUGCUCAAAAUGUCUGUUAAAGACAUGUGUAUAUUGUAGCAAUCAUAUUGUACUUGUAUUUAUAUUAUACAUGAUAAUAAGUGACUUAUGGCUGAUGAUAGCGGCAGUUUACUAGUUGUGUAACAGUUUGUUUCACUCGAUCAUCAGACCAUAUUUCCUUAAGCAUGUGAUUGUUUAUAAUGAACUGUAAUUGAAUGCAUGAAACAUUGUUGUUCUGUUGCUUAACAGCUGAAAAUAGCUUGAUGUUUGUUUAUUGUGUGAAAUGUUUCAAAUAAAUCAUAUUGAUACAUAGAACAUAAAAUUACAUUUUGCGUUAAUUUGAAUGCAUAUCAAACAAUUGUUUCCAUACAAGCAUAUUUGUAUUGAACUUAAUUGAUACUUUGAGAUGCAAUUUAUCAAUAAUGUGUAAAUAUUUUCAUCAAUUCCAAAUGAACAUUUUGCAUUCGUAAAUAUACGGUUUAUAUAUACUUUAAAGAAACUUAUUAAAUGCUUUAUAUUAAUUGAUUGUGUACCUCAUAUUGAUUAAAGACUCUCUUAUUUAUUGCAUUGUUGUGUGUGCAUAUGUCUGACUUAUGUCUUCAUAGUCCUUAGAGUUAAAUUACUGUAAAUAGUAUUUUAAUAAUGUAAAAAUGUUUAUCUAAACUAUGACCAGGUUAUCUGUUAAAUUAAGUUUCAUACAUUUGCAUUGUCUAGCUAAUUAAAUUGAAGAGUUUAUAUUCUCGCCUACAUGCAGUGUAUGGUUUAGACAAAGCACAAUACACAACUCAAGUUGUUAUAUCUAUCAUUACUAACCAGUGUUUAGUCCGUAGAGGUUAAAGUAUACUAAAUAUUUCGGUUGUGCAAUGCUAUGCUCUCUAAAUAAAUCAACACCAUUUAUUGAUUUUCUAUGUGGGCACUUAAAUUCCCAUGACUUUAUUUGUGAAUAUUUCUUUGAAUGUGCGGUAGGAAAAACAUUGUUUGCUUGAAGGUUUAGAAACUUAAUGUUGACAUCUUGAAAGAUGGCAGAAAACAUUUAACUGCAGAGUAGCUGUGAAAAGAUGUAUGUUAAACAAUGUAAGACAGAACUCCACGCAAGAUAUGUCAUGCAUUCGAUAUGCAUGAACUAUCUUUUUAUGACCCCCUUCGAAGAAGAGGGGGUAUAUUGCUUUGCACAUGUCGGUCGGUCAGUCUGUCGGUUGGUCUGUCCACCAGAUGGUUUCCGGAUGAUAACUCAAGAACGCUUGGGGCUAGGAUCAUGAAACUUCAUAGGUACAUUGAUCAUGACUCACAGAUGACCCCUAUUGAUUUUGAAGUCACUAGGUCAAAGAUCAAGGUCACGGUGACCUGAAAUAGUAAAAUGGUUUCCGGAUGAUAACUCAAGAACGCUUAUGCCUAGGAUCAUGAAACUUCAUAGGUACAUUGAUCAUGACUCGCAGAUGACCCCUAUUGAUUUUCAGGUCAAAGGUCAAGGUUACGGUGACCCGAAAUAGUAAAAUGGUUUCUGGAUGAUAACUCAAGAACGCUUAUGCCUAGGAUCAUGAAACUUGAUAGGUAGAUUGAUCAUGACUCGCAGAUGACCCCUAUUUUGUUUCAGGUCACUAGGUCAAAGGUCAAGGUCAUGGUGACCCGAAAUAGUAAAAUGGUUUCGGGAUGAUAACUCAAGAUCACUUUUGCCUAGGAUCAUGAAACUUCAUAGGUACAUUGAUCAUGACUCGCAGAUGACCCCUAUUGAUUUUGAGGUCACUAGGUCAAGUUCACAGUGACCCGGAAUAGUAAAAUGGUUUCCGGAUGAUAACUGAAGAACGCUUUUUCCUAGGAUCAUGAAACUUGAUAGGUAGAUUGAUCAUGACUCGUAGAUGACCCCUAUGUAUUUUCAGGUCACUAGGUCAAAGGUCUAGGUCACGGUGACCCGAAAUAGUAAAAUGGUUUCCGGAUGAUAACUCAAGAACGCUCAUGGCUAGGAUCAUGAAACUUCAUAGGUACAUUGAUCAUGACUGGCAGAUGACCCCUAUUGAUUUUCAGGUCACUAGGUCAAAGGUCAAGGUCACAGUGAAAAAAAAACAUAUUCAAACAAUGGCUGUCACUACAACGGAGAGCCCAUAUGGGGGGCAUGCAUGUUUUACAAACAGCCCUUGUUUAAUUUUAAUUUGGAUCGGAAUUAUCUUUUAGAAAUGGUAUGGUUAUGAGGGUCUUUAUGUGCAAAAUGUUGCAUUUAUUUUGUGUACAAGUUAUUGCUUAAACAUUGAAUUUGUUAUGGAAAUAAUAUAGUUUAUGUGACUUAAAGAGAUAUACAUGUUUAUAUUAGUGAUGUGUUUUCGCUGAUCCAAGUAUGUUCUUGCACACUAUUUAAAGUAGAUAACCACAAGUUAUCUCAUUUAAAUGGGAAUAGUAUUGUACUGUGGAAAAGUGUUGCGAGUUCAAAUAAAAAAUACUAUGAAC